GCUAAACAGAGUGAGUACGGUAGGGUGCUAAACAGAGUGAGUACGGUAGGGUGCUAAACAGAGUGAGUACGGUAGUGAACACAGUGAGUACGGUAGUGUACUAAACAGAGUGAGUACGGUAGUGUGCUAAACAGAGUGAGUACAGUAGGGUGCUAAACAGAGUGAGUACAGUAGGGUGCUAAACAGAGUGAGUACGGUAGUAAACAGAGUGAGUAGUGUAGUAAACAGAGUGAGUACGGUAGUAAACAGAGUGAGUAUGGUAAUGUGCUAAACAGAGUGAGUACGGUAGUGUGCUAAACAGAGUGAGUACGGUAGUGUAGUAAACAGAGUGAGUACGGUAGUGUGCUAAACAGAGUGAGUACGGUAGUAUAGUAAACAGAGUGAGUAA
rnacentral:lncRNA from 1 species